rnacentral:rRNA from 1 species
AACGAACGCUGGCGGCAGGCUUAACACAUGCAAGUCGAACGCUGUAGCAAUACAGAGUGGCAGACGGGUGAGUAACGCGUGGGAACGUGCCUUUCGGUUCGGAAUAACUCAGGGAAACUUGAGCUAAUACCGGAUACGCCCUUAGGGGGAAAGAUUUAUUGCCGAAAGAUCGGCCCGCGUCCGAUUAGCUAGUUGGUGAGGUAAUGGCUCACCAAGGCGACGAUCGGUAGCUGGUCUGAGAGGAUGAUCAGCCACACUGGGACUGAGACACGGCCCAGACUCCUACGGGAGGCAGCAGUGGGGAAUAUUGGACAAUGGGCGCAAGCCUGAUCCAGCCAUGCCGCGUGAGUGAUGAAGGCCCUAGGGUUGUAAAGCUCUUUCGCCAGGGACGAUAAUGACGGUACCUGGAUAAGAAGCCCCGGCUAACUUCGUGCCAGCCGCCGCGGUAAAAC